CCCAAAGUGCUGGGAUUACAAGUGUGAGCCACCAUGCCCAGCCUCAUGAUCUGUUUUAUAAAGUAAGACUUCUAGUGCUCGGCUUCAGAAGCACAUAUGCUAAAAUAAUUAGAACGAUACAGAGAAGAUUAGCAUGGCCCCUGCACAAGGAUGACAUGCAAAUUCAUGAAGCGUUCCAUAUUUUUUAAAAAAAAGACUUCUAGAUCCACUUGUUCUCACUUCCUGCCUUAAUUUAUCCCAAUCAUGGGAUGCUAGAUUACCUACUAGCUGAACAGGAAGUAGUCUGUGUAGUUGCUGAUAUUUCUUGUUGCAUAUAGGUAAAUAUAUCAAGUAUUGUAGACACUCAGUUAUUAAAAAUUAAUACCUACUUGGUUAAAACAGGCAGACUCCUCAUCUAGCUCAUUCUUAGAUCUGUUUGAUUUUAGUUGCUUUAGUUCAUGGAGACCCUGGGUAAGAAACAUGCUCCGAAUUUUUGGUAUUAUCCUCCUGAUGGUCACAAUAUUAGUCUUCCUGGUACACAGUAUCCUCUCAAAAAGUCUUAAAUAUCUACAUGCAGCUAUCUGCUGUAUGCUAAACGGUCUUUUGGGCUGGAAUGAAGAAAACUUAAAGAAACACAUGAUAAGAAAGACAAUGUAACCCAUGAAUGAUGUAUGGAGAGCGCACCCCAAAAUGAUGGUGACUGUUAGAUUGUACUGAUGCCCUAAGUCUUGGUCACACUGUCACCUAUGAGAGACCCUGACAAAAAGAGGGGAAUUGUUCAAUACAAUUAUAUCUCUUUAGGCUCAACAGACCAAAUCAAAAUGGAGUUACUUGUCCUGAAGUUCCAUACCACCAAACUGUAACUAAGUUGUUUAUGUGACACUUCAAGGUAGCAGGAGUUAAUAGGCAAAUCCCCAAAUAGUCCAGUUUUAUCUGGCUUGAUAAAGUCCCUUCUGCUUUAACCUUUACAGGGAGAGUAGCUUCGAAAUGACCAAUCUACUUUUUGUUCUGUUUCUGCUUUCCUCGGCCCAUUUCUUUCUUUCUUUUUUUUUUUUUUUUUUGAGACAAUAUUACUCUGUUGCUCAGGUUGGAGUGCAGUGGCACAAUCUCAGCUCACUGCAGCCUCCGCUUCUCAGGUUUGAGCGAUUCUCCUGCUUCAGCCUCCCAAGUAGCUGGAAUUACAGGCACAUGCCCAGCUAAUUUUUGUGUCUUUAGUAGAUACAGGGUUUUGCCAUGUUGACCUGGCUGGUCUCAAACUCCUGACCUCCAGUGAUCCACCGUCCUUGGCCUCCCAAAGUGCUGGAAUUACAAAUGUGAGCCACCAUGCCCGGCCUCCUCAGCUUAUUUCUCUCUAUAAAGCCAAAUUCCUUUGCUCGGCUCAUUGGAGCAAAGGAGUUUGGUUUUAUGGAAUGAAUCACACACACACAAAAAGCCAAUUAAGAUCUUUAAACUAAAUUUAUUGUAAUUUUGACUUUUGAAAGGAGUAACACCUAAGCAUUAAAACAGAAAGUUUUAAUUUUUACUUAGAGGAAGUUGGGGAGAGUAUAAAGGAGAAAAGAAAC
rnacentral:lncRNA from 1 species